rnacentral:hammerhead_ribozyme from 1 species
AUCCAGCUGAUGAGUCCCAAAAAAUAGGACGAAACGUGUGUCAAACUGGAU